rnacentral:rRNA from 1 species
GCUUAACACAUGCAAGUCGAGGGGCAGCAUGGUCUUAGCUUGCUAAGGCCGAUGGCGACCGGCGCACGGGUGAGUAACACGUAUCCAACCUGCCGUCUACUCUUGGACAGCCUUCUGAAAGGAAGAUUAAUACAAGAUGGCAUCAUGAGUCCGCAUGUUCACAUGAUUAAAGGUAUUCCGGUAGACGAUGGGGAUGCGUUCCAUUAGAUAGUAGGCGGGGUAACGGCCCACCUAGUCUUCGAUGGAUAGGGGUUCUGAGAGGAAGGUCCCCCACAUUGGAACUGAGACACGGUCCAAACUCCUACGGGAGGCAGCAGUGAGGAAUAUUGGUCAAUGGGCGAGAGCCUGAACCAGCCAAGUAGCGUGAAGGAUGACUGCCCUAUGGGUUGUAAACUUCUUUUAUAAAGGAAUAAAGUCGGGUAUGGAUACCCGUUUGCAUGUACUUUAUGAAUAAGGAUCGGCUAACUCCGUGCCAGCAGCCGCGGUAAUACGGAGGAUCCGAGCGUUAUCCGGAUUUAUUGGGUUUAAAGGGAGCGUAGAUGGAUGUUUAAGUCAGUUGUGAAAGUUUGCGGCUCAACCGUAAAAUUGCAGUUGAUACUGGAUAUCUUGAGUGCAGUUGAGGUAGGCGGAAUUCGUGGUGUAGCGGUGAAAUGCUUAGAUAUCACGAAGAACUCCGAUUGCGAAGGCAGCCUGCUAAGCUGCAACUGACAUUGAGGCUCGAAAGUGUGGGUAUCAAACAGGAUUAGAUACCCUGGUAGUCCACACGGUAAACGAUGAAUACUCGCUGUUUGCGAUAUACAGCAAGCGGCCAAGCGAAAGCGUUAAGUAUUCCACCUGGGGAGUACGCCGGCAACGGUGAAACUCAAAGGAAUUGACGGGGGCCCGCACAAGCGGAGGAACAUGUGGUUUAAUUCGAUGAUACGCGAGGAACCUUACCCGGGCUUAAAUUGCAGAUGAAUUACGGUGAAAGCCGUAAGCCGCAAGGCAUCUGUGAAGGUGCUGCAUGGUUGUCGUCAGCUCGUGCCGUGAGGUGUCGGCUUAAGUGCCAUAACGAGCGCAACCCUUGUUGUCAGUUACUAACAGGUUCCGCUGAGGACUCUGACAAGACUGCCAUCGUAAGAUGUGAGGAAGGUGGGGAUGACGUCAAAUCAGCACGGCCCUUACGUCCGGGGCUACACACGUGUUACAAUGGGGGGUACAGAGGGCCGCUACCACGCGAGUGGAUGCCAAUCCCCAAAACCUCUCUCAGUUCGGACUGGAGUCUGCAACCCGACUCCACGAAGCUGGAUUCGCUAGUAAUCGCGCAUCAGCCACGGCGCGGUGAAUACGUUCCCGGGCCUUGUACACACCGCCCGUCAAGCCAUGGGAGCCGGGGGUACCUGAAGUGCGUAACCGCGAGGAGCGCCCUAGGGUAAAACUGGUGACUGGGGCUAAGUCGU